GAUGAACGCUGGCGGCGUGCCUAAUACAUGCAAGUCGAGCGAACAGAUGAGGAGCUUGCUCCUCUGACGUUAGCGGCGGACGGGUGAGUAACACGUGGAUAACCUACCUAUAAGACUGGGAUAACUUCGGGAAACCGGAGCUAAUACCGGAUAAUAUAUUAAACCGAAUGGUUAAAUAGUGAAAGACGGUUUUGCUUUCACUUAUAGAUGGAUCCGCGCCGCAUUAGCUAGUUGGUAAGGUAACGGCUUACCAAGGCAACGAUGCGUAGCCGACCUGAGAGGGUGAUCGGCCACACUGGAACUGAGACACGGUCCAGACUCCUACGGGAGGCAGCAGUAGGGAAUCUUCCGCAAUGGGCGAAAGCCUGACGGAGCAACGCCGCGUGAGUGAUGAAGGUCUUCGGAUCGUAAAACUCUGUUAUUAGGGAAGAACAAAUGUGUAAGUAACUAUGCACGUCUUGACGGUACCUAAUCAGAAAGCCACGGCUAACUACGUG
rnacentral:rRNA from 1 species